rnacentral:rRNA from 1 species
GACGAACGCUGGCGGCGUGCUUAACACAUGCAAGUCGAACGGAAAGGCCCUGCUUUUGUGGGGUGCUCGAGUGGCGAACGGGUGAGUAACACGUGAGUAACCUGCCCUUGACUUUGGGAUAACUUCAGGAAACUGGGGCUAAUACCGGAUAGGAGCUCCUGCUGCAUGGUGGGGGUUGGAAAGUUUCGGCGGUUGGGGAUGGACUCGCGGCUUAUCAGCUUGUUGGUGGGGUAGUGGCUUACCAAGGCUUUGACGGGUAGCCGGCCUGAGAGGGUGACCGGCCACACUGGGACUGAGAUACGGCCCAGACUCCUACGGGAGGCAGCAGUGGGGAAUAUUGCACAAUGGGAGGAAGCCUGAUGCAGCAACGCCGCGUGCGGGAUAACGGCCUUCGGGUUGUAAACAGAUUUCGACUGUAACGAAGCGUGAGUGACGGUAAUGGGUAAGGAAGCACCGGCUAACUACGUG